AAGUCGUAACAAGGUUUCCGUAGGUGAACCUGCGGAAGGAUCAUUAAUGAAAUUGGGGUUUCUGUGCCGCCUUUCACGAGGAUUGUGCACGCUACCCCUUAAUCCUUUUAACACCUGUGCACAUUGAGAGAAUUGUCAAGUGGCUUAAUUGCUGCGAGACGAAUCUCUAUUAUAAACUCAUAGUCAAACGAAUGUUCAUUGGCCGAAAGGCUCUAAAUAAAACAACUUUUAACAACGGAUCUCUUGGCUCUC
rnacentral:misc_RNA from 1 species